UGGGGCGUCGACAAGCGGCAAGUCAGGAGAUUUUGGAUCUCCCAUCCGGAGGUUCGAAUCCUCCCGCCCCAGCCA
rnacentral:tRNA from 2 species